AUGAAGGACAGCUCAGAUGCCACGACCCCUGUCCCUCGGGUAAGAACUGACUAUGUGGUGCGGCCCAGCACAGGCGAGGAGAAGCGGGUGUUUCAGGAGCAGGAGCGGUACAGAUACAGCCAGCCCCACAAGGCAUUCACCUUCCGCAUGCACGGCUUCGAGUCAGUGGUGGGGCCAGUGAAGGGUGUGUUUGACAAGGAGACCUCCCUCAACAAGGCCCGAGAACACUCCCUGCUGCGCUCGGACCGUCCGGCCUAUGUCACCAUCCUGUCUCUUGUGCGGGAUGCUGCGGCCCGGCUGCCUAACGGGGAAGGCACGCGGGCAGAGAUCUGUGAGCUGCUCAAGGACUCGCAGUUUCUUGCUCCAGACGUCACCAGCACUCAGGUGAACACAGUCGUGAGUGGUGCCCUGGAUCGCCUACAUUAUGAAAAAGACCCUUGUGUAAAGUAUGACAUUGGACGAAAGUUGUGGAUCUACCUGCAUCGUGACCGGAGUGAGGAGGAGUUUGAGAGGAUUCACCAAGCACAAGCAGCUGCAGCUAAAGCCAGGAAAGCCCUUCAGCAGAAGCCCAAGCCCCCUUCCAAGGUGAAAUCCAGUAACAAGGAGAGCUCCAUGAAGGUCCUGAGCAGUGGCACUUCGGAGCAGAGCCAGAUGAGUCUCAGUGACUCCAGCAUGCCGCCUACCCCAGUCACACCCGUGACGCCCACCACACCAGCAUUGCCUGCUACACCCAUCUCCCCUCCUCCUGUGUCAUCAGUGAACAAAAGUGGUCCUACUUCUGUCUCUGAACCAGCAAAGUCUAGCUCAGGUGUUCUUCUGGUGUCCUCGCCAACAAUGCCACAGUUAGGAACGAUGCUUUCCCCAGCGUCCAGCCAGACUCCACCCAGUUCUCAGGCGCCUGCCCGGGUUGUGAGCCACUCUGGCUCUGCUGGGCUGCCCCAGGUGCGAGUGGUGGCCCAGCCCAGCCUUCCUGCUGUGCCCCAGCAGCCAGCAGGGCCAGCACCGACACUGCCACAGAUGCCAGCAGGACCACAGAUCCGGGUGCCAGCCACUGCCACACAGACCAAAGUAGUGCCCCAGGCCGUCAUGACCACUGUUCCUGUCAAAGCGCAGUCUACAGCAGCUACUGUGCAGCGGCCUGGCCCUGGGCAGACUGGGCUUACUGUGACAAGUCUCCCUGCCGCAGCCAGCCCUGUGAGCAAGCCAGCCACGAGUUCUCCCGGAAGCUCGGCUCCAAGUGCCUCCACAACUGCUGUCAUUCAAAACGUUACAGGGCAGAACAUUAUCAAGCAGGUGGCUAUCACUGGGCAGCUUGGUGUGAAGCCCCAGACAGGCAACAGCAUUCCACUCACAGCCACUAACUUCCGUAUCCAGGGUAAGGAUGUGCUGCGGCUGCCUCCCUCCUCUAUCACCACAGAUGCUAAGGGCCAGACGGUUCUGCGAAUCACUCCGGACAUGAUGGCCACGUUGGCCAAGUCCCAGGUUACCACUGUCAAAUUGACCCAGGACCUCUUCGGGACAGGAAGUGGCACUGCAGGCAAAGGCAUCUCUGCUACCCUACAUGUCACCUCCAAUCCUGUGCAUGCUGCCGAGAGCCCUGCCAGGGCCAGCUCUGCCAGUGCGCCUGCCUCCGCCCCAGCAGGUACCACCGUGGUCAAAGUGACACCUGACCUCAAGCCGACAGAAGCCUCAAGCUCAGCUUUUCGAUUGAUGCCAGCCUUGGGCAUGAGCGUGGCAGAUCAGAAGGGAAAAAACACAGUGGCCUCGUCAGAAGCAAAACCAGCUGCCACAAUCCGCAUCGUGCAGGGCCUGGGUGUGAUGCCUCCCAAAGCAGGCCAGACCAUCACCGUUGCAGCCCAUGCCAAGCCAGGGGCCUCAGUAGCCAGCGGGUCUGGAACUGUCCAUUCUCCAGCAGUGUCUUUGCCUAGUAUGAGCGCUGCCAUGUCCAAGACUGUGGCUGUGGCUUCUGGGGCCACAAGCACCCCCAUCAGCAUCGGGACAGGAGCCCCCACUGUGCGGCAAGUCCCUGUCGGCACCACAGUUGUGUCCACGUCCCAGGCUGGGAAGCUGCCUACCCGGAUCACAGUGCCGCUGUCGGUGAUUAGCCAGCCAAUGAAGGGCAAGAGCGUGGUCACGGCCCCCAUCAUCAAAGGCAACCUUGGAGCCAACCUCAGUGGCUUGGGCCGCAAUAUCAUUCUCACAACCAUGCCAGCAGGUACCAAGCUCAUCGCUGGCAACAAACCUGUCAGCUUCCUCACUGCACAGCAGCUACAGCAGCUUCAGCAGCAAGGUCAGGCCACACAGGUGCGCAUCCAGACUGUUCCCGCCUCCCACCUCCAGCAGGGCACAGCAGCUGGUUCCUCCAAAGCUGUCUCCACUGUUGUGGUGACCACUGCUCCAUCUCCUAAACAGGCACCUGAACAGCAAUGACUGAGAGUGGCUUCCAUAAGGGAGCACACCUGAUCUGUUCUGGCUGGAAGGCAGGCAGCAGGGGACUGUGUCUGCCCCGAGCUGGUCUGUCUGAGGCAGGCCAGCGGGAAGAGGAAGGCGAGAAUGGCCUGGGUUCUGCUGCUGUGCUCCAGGUCAAACCCCAGCUCGGGCUGACUGCCUUGCACCAGUCCAGGGGAAGGUUCCGGUAGAGUGGGGAGAUCCCGGUUCCAGCAUAGAAGCCAAAGUUCUCUCCUGAGAGUAGGGAAGGCUUACAGGGUGGGCAGGCAGUGAAUGAGCCUCGUUGGACAUGACAGCUGUAUUUUUUAGCCUCUGGUCUUUAUGACUUGAGGUCUUGAUAUGAGAUUUGUGUCCAGAAAAUUUUAUGUAACUUAUUUUUUUAAAGAAUCUAUCGUACAUCUUUGUCAAAUAGAAGCCUGGGCUCUAGGGCUGCCUGUACCCCGAGCUGAUAAGUUACUCUUUUGGCUAGAAUGAGAAAAUAGCAAGAAGUUUGUUAAGUUGGUAUAAUUGCAAGGCUGUGAGGUGGGAAACUGUGAAGUGAGGUGGUGCGGGUUCCCUGAAGCAGGAUUAGUUUGGCCCUGCCUCUUGAAGAGGCUUGGAACUAAUCAUGGUCCCUGCUUUUAUGCUCCAACACGGACUGCGGAAGAGCCAUUCACACGAAGCCCAGAGCCGUGGAACGGGCAGAGGAGUGACAGCAGGAUGCUGCUUUUGUAGUACAGACUUGUGUGAGUUCAGACGUUUGUACGUUCUGUUUUUCUGUAGAGCAGGAGUCACGUAUUAGACCACUGGCACAGGCCACCAGUUUCUGUAAACAAAACUGUCCUCAUCCAUUUAGAUAGUAUUUAUGAUGCCUUCAAAUAGAGGGCAGAAUUAAUGGAGGCUAUAGGGCCUGAAUGGCCCUCAGACCCCUACGGUUUCUUCUGUAGCCCUUCGAGAAUAAACCUGGUUGACCUCUGCUCCACAGGGUAUUGGCAGAGGAGAGUGGUCAGAGGUGCAGGGUCGGGUGUGGCCUGGCAGUUCUACUGCACGAGAGGUCAGGCUGGCCUGGAAGCUGUUUCUUGCUGGCUGCUUUCCACUUUUCAGCCUGUGGGCCGCUGUAGGCAGAGCUUGGGACAAGGUCUGAGCCCUGAGUACAGGUGGCACUAGUGAAUGGGUGCGUUGUGUGGCAGAGGUGGAUGGGCAGACUUUUCUGCAGUGACAGGAUUUCCCUAUCUCAAAAAUGUCCAAAUUAUUAAAACUUUGCCUUUAAUCCAUGAACCUGUAGUGAUUAUCUUUUGUGGGGUCAGAGGGGAGCUAAGUGGGAAUGGGUGAUUCGGAUGGUGCUGGCCUGGAGGUGGGUGACUGGGCAGGUGGCAGAGGAGGGUUUGAGUGACUUGUUGGUUGCCCCAGCGUUCUACCAUUUAAUUUGGUUCUUAAAUCCUGUUACAUAGGGCUGGGCAUGUGGCUCAGUGGUAGAGCUCUUGCACGAGGCCCUGGAUUUAAUCCCUAGCAUCACCAAAAAAAAAAAAAAAUCUGUCAAAUAGAUGUCGUCGUCUUCGGCUAACUGUGAAGAUGUGUCUGAGUUGAAGAAGAGAACAAGAUGAGAAUCCGGGUUCCUGAUCCUACAUUCCCUUUCUGCUGCCUUCUGAGGGAGGUGGCUGGGAUACUGCG
rnacentral:lncRNA from 1 species